CUCUCCAAUCCUAAGUUGUAUGAAGAGUUCUUCACACAGACACUUACAUGCACACACAUUCUCUGAGCAGGUCUGCUCAGAAUUGCCUGGCUGUGACUUUGUUCUCAAAAUAUGUUGGUGUUUGGCAGCUAUGUCAGACUAUCAGCCAGUCCCUAAAUACACCUUAUUAUUUCUCGUCAUUUAUGUCUCUGGGAUGAAAAAUAUAUCAGCCUGGUUGGUAAGAACAGAGUCGCUAAAUGUGUUAAAGAAAUAAAGGGUUUCAUACAGGAUUGGGGCUUACCCAAACAUGGGAGGGGCUGGGAGAGUCAUGGUCUGAAGGCUGCAGUUAAAGGGUAGGAGAAACAGUCACCUACAACUCAGAACUGGAAAGACUGGAACUCUUGGGCGUGCCUGAGAAGCUGCUGUGACUGCCUGCCAGAGUGGGAGUGCCCAGUGAGGUUUGCUAAACCACAUGCUCCCUAAAACUGCGGUGUGAGCCAACAUGACCUCCCAAGAGCUUUCCUCCUGCCUUCCCACCACAGGCUUCUCAUUGGUUAUAUGUAUUUUGAAACAGGAAAUCUCGCCAUCCUCACCAAAGCCAUUUCCUUGAGAGGAUUUUAUCUGGUUUGUCUCCUUGACUCCAGGCAGGGCUCCAUUCCAACCAGAUGGAAGAAUGCAGACAUCUCACAUCAUUUACACCCAGAAGGCUGUCAGCAGCAGCGCUCAGGGAGUGAGAGUGUUUAAUCUCGAGGAGGAAAUAGAAUGUAUACACACCCUGCAAACUGAGAUGUUUUACGUUGGCUCUGGCUCCUACCGCCCCCCAUGUGUGGCAGCAGCUACCAAGACUCUACUGUGAAUCCCCAUGACUGCAAUGAGAAUGAACAAAA
rnacentral:lncRNA from 1 species